UACAGAGGGUGCGAGCGUUAAUCGGAAUUACUGGGCGUAAAGCGUGCGUAGACGGUUAUUUAAGUCGGGUGUGAAAGCCCCGGGCUCAACCUGGGAAGUGCACUCGAAACUGCUUGGCUUGAGUACUGGAGAGGGAAGCGGAAUUCCCGGUGUAGCGGUGAAAUGCGUAGAAUAUCGGGAGGAACAUCGAUGGCGAAGGCAAUCACCUGGGCCUGAACUGACACUGUGACACGAAAGCGUGGGUAGCAAACAGG
rnacentral:rRNA from 1 species